AAUAUCCUGCGAUGUUCGUUUCGGUUUUUGUUGUUUUGAACCAAUGACAGUUUCAAGGGAGACUUAGAUCGAAGUAUGGCUGACAUGCCCUCGAAAAGGGAUUUCAAAAGUACUUCUGCGGUCAUCCACCUGCGAGAGCGGGUUUGAAACUAUAAAACCGGACGGCACUGCGGGUUUUUU
rfam:Paenibacillus larvae subsp. larvae DSM 25430, complete genome.